rnacentral:rRNA from 1 species
UACGAAGGGUGCAAACGUUGCUCGGAAUUAUUGGGCGUAAAGCGCACGUAGGCGGCUUUGCAAGUCGGAUGUGAAAUCCCUCGGCUUAACCAAGGAAGUGCAUCCGAAACUGCAGAGCUUGAGUACUUAAGAGGAUCGCGGAAUUCCCGGUGUAGAGGUGAAAUUCGUAGAUAUCGGGAGGAACACCAGUGGCGAAGGCGGCGAUCUGGGAAGAUACUGACGCUGAGGUGCGAAAAGCGUGGGGAGCAAACAGG